rnacentral:lncRNA from 1 species
UGAAACAGAACAGGGUAUUAGUCUGAUUACAGCGACCACAGAUCUCCUCUAAGGGCUGGAAGUGUCAUCAUUUCCUCCAGCUAGGAGCAGCGUUUGGUACUGUGAGUCACAAGAUGCUGUGGUCAGUGUAAAGUCUUUUCCAGCACAGAGGAUUCUGCUCUGACUCUGAGCCACACAAGUUUCUUCCAGCUCUGGGGUCUGGUCCCCAACCUUGGGGCUCAGUGGGAACUUGGGGGACCCAGGACAGUGUGAGCCCUUCUAGGCUGCAGAGUCACCAGGCCACAGGAAACAACUUGACCAAGCCCACCUGUGAAUGACUACAGGCAGGAAGAAAUUAACACGUUCCCUCCAGAGACAGACAAGAACCAGGAAAUGUUUGACUUGACUCCCUUUCCUUUUAGUAUAAAAGGAGCCUGAAUUCUAACCCAGGCAAGAUGGUUCUUGGGGAUGAGUCUACCAUUUUCUCCAUCUGCAGGCUUUCUGAAUAAAGUUCCUUGCCCC